GAUGAACGCUAGCGGCAGGCUUAACACAUGCAAGUCGAGGGGUAUAGUUCUUCGGAAUUAGAGACCGGCGCACGGGUGCGUAACGCGUAUGCAAUCUACCUUUCACAGAGGGAUAGCCCCAGAGAAAUUUGGAUUAAUACCUCAUAGUAUAGCAGUUUCGCAUGAAACCACUAUUAAAGUCACAACGGCAAAAGAUGAGCAUGCGUCCCAUUAGCUAGUUGGUAAGGUAACGGCUUACCAAGGCUACGAUGGGUAGGGGUCCUGAGAGGGAGAUCCCCCCACACUGGUACUGAGACACGGACCAGACUCCUACGGGAGGCAGCAGUGAGGAAUAUUGGACAAUGGCGCAAGCCUGAUCCAGCCAUGCCGCGUGCA
rnacentral:rRNA from 1 species